rnacentral:tRNA from 1 species
AAGAAAGACAUAGAGGCUAUGGGGCUGGCUUGAAACUAGCUAUAGAAGGUUCGAUUCCUUCCUUUCUU